rnacentral:rRNA from 1 species
GUGGGGAAUAUUGGACAAUGGGCGAAAGCCUGAUCCAGCCAUACCGCGUGUGUGAAGAAGGUCUUCGGAUUGUAAAGCACUUUAAGUUGGGAGGAAGGGCAGUAAGUUAAUACCUUGCUGUUUUGACGUUACCAACAGAAUAAGCACCGGCUAACUUCGUGCCAGCAGCCGCGGUAAUACGAAGGGUGCAAGCGUUAAUCGGAAUUACUGGGCGUAAAGCGCGCGUAGGUGGUUCAGCAAGUUGAAGGUGAAAUCCCCGGGCUCAACCUGGGAACUGCCUCCAAAACUGCAUGACUAGAGUACGGUAGAGGGUAGUGGAAUUUCCUGUGUAGCGGUGAAAUGCGUAGAUAUAGGAAGGAACACCAGUGGCGAAGGCGACUACCUGGACUGAUACUGACACCGAGGUGCGAAAGCGUGGGGAGCAAACAGGAUUAGAAACCCUAGUAGUCC